rnacentral:rRNA from 1 species
UACGGGGGGGGGCAAGCGUUGUUCGGAAUUACUGGGCGUAAAGCGCGCGUAGGCGGCUUUUCAAGUCGGGCGUGAAAGCCCCGGGCUUAACCCGGGAAUGGCGCUCGAUACUGUUGAGCUAGAGUGUGGAAGGGGCUACUGGAAUUCCGUGUGUAGCGGUGAAAUGCGCAGAUAUCGGGAGGAACACCAAUGGCGAAGGCAGCUCGCUGGGACGUUACUGACGCUGAGACGCGAAAGCGUGGGGAGCAAACAGG